rnacentral:rRNA from 1 species
GAUGAACGCUGGCGGCGUGCCUAAUACAUGCAAGUCGAGCGAACGGACGAGAAGCUUGCUUCUCUGAUGUUAGCGGCGGACGGGUGAGUAACACGUGGAUAACCUACCUAUAAGACUUGGAUAACUUCGGGAAACCGGAGCUAAUACCGGAUGAUAUUUUGAACCGCAUGGUUCAAAAGUGAAAGACGGUCUUGCUGUCACUUAUAGAUGGAUCCGCGUUGCAUUAGCUAGUUGGUAAGGUAACGGCUUACCAAGGCAACGAUGCAUAGCCGACCUGAGAGGGUGAUCGGCCACACUGGAACUGAGACACGGUCCAGACUCCUACGGGAGGCAGCAGUAGGGAAUCUUCCGCAAUGGGCGAAAGCCUGACGGAGCAACGCCGCGUGAGUGAUGAAGGUCUUCGGAUCGUAAAACUCUGUUAUUAGGGAAGAACAUAUGUGUAAGUAACUGUGCACAUCUUGACGGUACCUAAUCAGAAAGCCACGGCUAACUACGUG